rnacentral:rRNA from 1 species
AUUGAACGCUGGCGGCAUGCUUUACACAUGCAAGUCGAACGGCAGCGCGGGCUUCGGCCUGGCGGCGAGUGGCGAACGGGUGAGUAAUGCAUCGGAACGUGCCCAGUAGUGGGGGAUAGCCCGGCGAAAGCCGGAUUAAUACCGCAUACGACCUGAGGGUGAAAGCGGGGGACCGAAAGGCCUCGGGCUCUUGGAGCGGCCGAUGUCGGAUUUGCCAGUUGGUGGGGUUAAGGGUUACCAAGGCGAGGAUCCGUAGCUGGGCUGAGAGGGCGAACCACCACCAGGGGGCUGGGGCCCGGCCCAGGGGCCUACGGGAAGGAGCAGUGGGGAAUUUUGGGCAAUGGGGGCAACCCUUGUCCAGCCAUGCCGCGUGCGGGAAGAAGGCCUUCCGGUUGGAAAGCGGUUUUUUUCGGGAAGAAAUCCUUUGGGCUAAUACCCCGGGGGGAUGACGGUACCGGAAGAAUAAGCACCGGCUAACUACGUG